AAUUAAAAAAGAGGUUGCGGAGAUUAAAAGUAACUGAGGAAGAGGAUGAAGGAUCCGAUGAAGCCCAGUGAAAGGAUGAUCCGCCGAAAUGGUUAGCGUACCUUCUGCGAUAACCGUUGGGUCUUGAAAGAAUAUUUCAAGGACUGUCGCUAUUUUAUAAUAGCGGGGUGCUUUUCAAAUC
rnacentral:ncRNA from 1 species